UGUGAUGUAAUAUGGUAGAGUUUUUAACUGAUGCAUGUGAUGUAAUAUGGCAGUUCCAAUACAUUGAAUAUUGGAACUGGGUUAACGAGAUGAUUACUUUGUGGCAAUUUAAUCUUUGAUUGUUGAGAAGAAAAAGGUGAUUACUUUGUGGAAGUUGAUGUGUGUGUGAAAAUGGGGAGGUAAGUUAUUCUGUUACUUAGGUUGGACUUGCAAGGAUAGGUGUUUAUUAUAUGUCAGAAUGGUCACUCAAUUCAGCAAUUUUUUACAUGCCAAUGAGCAGAAUUAAAAAGUUUCUUUGGCUUCUGUAGAAAACAAGGAAGGGUAGGAGACUAGGAAAUGGAGGAUUUCAAACAUUUUUACCUAAACACUUGGUGAUUUAAUUUUGCUCCGCUGUUCAAGCCAUUCUUUUGCAUAUAUCAACAGAGGGAAAAGGGUUUUUCUUAAUGUUAUUUGAUUUGAAUUUUUUUUUUUUGAAUUAUAAAACACAAUUAUGACAUGAUUACUGUCAUGUCAAAAGGGUGAACUCAUUGUUAAGGUGGUUGAAUUUCCAUAGAGACAGCUCUACGAUAUUCAAUAUGUAGACCCAUAAUAUUAUUUUCGUUUGGUGCAGAACGUCUUCAGUUUUGCUUUUGGGCCUAGAGUUAAUUCAAUUAAAAUUAUAUCUUCUUCUGUUUUAGAAUGUUUCAUAAUAAUCACUUUGAUUUGUGUUUUGUCUAGAAUCUCUUCUUUCUUGCUUCUGGGGCCUUCUUAUUUGCUGAUCUCGCAUUGUUCUUUUACAUGGAACUCCAGGGACUAGAAAAACCGCUUUAUGUAAAGCAUUAGCUCAAAAACUAUCCAUCUGAUUUAACUCCAGAUACCUACAGUCCCAAUUGCUUCAAAUUAAUGCACAUUCUCUAUUCAGCAAAUGAUACUCUGAAAAUGGCAAGCUGGU